AAAGGUUUGGUCCUAGCUUUUCUGUUAAUUUUUAUUAGACCUACACAUGCAAGUUUCCGCUGACUGGUGAGAAUGCCCUUAAAGUUAAUAAUUAUAACUACAAGGAGCAGGUAUCAGGCUCACCACAGGUAGCCCACUACACCUUGCUAAACCACACCCCCACGGGCCACAGCAGUGACUAAAAUUAAGCAAUAAACGAAAGUUUGACUAAAUCAUAAUCUAUUCAGGGUUGGUAAAUUUCGUGCCAGCCACCGCGGUCAUACGAUUAACCCAAAUAAACAGAAAAACGGCGUAAAGCGUGUUUAAGUCAAACAAAAAAUAAGGCUAAUAUGCCACUAAACUGUAAUACGCUCUAGUUGACAUUAAAAUAAAUUACUAAAGUAGCCUUAACUUUACUGAAUACACGAUAGCUAAGACACAAACUGGGAUUAGAUACCCCACUAUGCUUAGCCAUAAACUCAAAUAAUCAAUAAACAAGAUUAUUCGCCAGAGAACUACUAGCAACUGCUUAAAACUCAAAGGACUUGGCGGUGCCCUAAGCCCAUCUAGAGGAGCCUGUUCUAUAAUCGAUAAACCCCGAUAAACCUUACCCCCUCUUGCCAAUACAGCCUAUAUACCGCCAUCGUCAGCUCACCCCACUAGGGAAAUAAAGUAAGCAAGACUACAAUACAUAAAAACGUUAGGUCAAGGUGUAGCAUAUGAGGAGGAAAGAAAUGGGCUACAUUUUCUAUAUUAGAACAUGAACGAACUAUAUCUUGAAAAUAUAAGAUAUAUGAAGGAGGAUUUAGCAGUAAAUUAAGAAUAGAGAGCUUAAUUGAACUAGGCAAUAGGACGCGCACACACCGCCCGUCACCCUCCUCAAUUUAAACCUUAAUUAUAACUAAUCAAAUUACCACAUAAAAGAGGAGAAAAGUCGUAACAUGGUAAGUGUACUGGAAAGUGCACUUGGAGUAU
rnacentral:ncRNA from 1 species